rnacentral:rRNA from 2 species
UGGGGAAUAUUGCACAAUGGGCGCAAGCCUGAUGCAGCCAUGCCGCGUGUAUGAAGAAGGCCUUCGGGUUGUAAAGUACUUUCAGCGAGGAGGAAGGUGUUGUGGUUAAUAACCACAGCAAUUGACGUUACUCGCAGAAGAAGCACCGGCUAACUCCGUG